AUAAUUUCUGGGAUGUCAGAGAAGCGUUACGAAGCCCUAAGUAGCAUUAAAAUGCCAAGAAAAGGUUGGGAGAAUUUUAUCAAUCGGUACAGACGAUUUUGCCUCCUUAAGCCAAAUGAAGGGCAUUUUAGUCAUUUCGCCUUCAGAGACGAUUUUUGGCCGACUUGUCCAGUUAAGUAAAUAAUUAUUAUGACAUAAAAUGUGAAUAAAUAUUGCUAAAAAUUAAAUUGAAAAUGAGUAGAGAAGAAAAGAAAAGAAAAUGAGAAAAAUGUCAAUUAUGACAUCACUAUGAGGUCGUUAAAAGUGCUCCCAUCAAUUACAUUUGAACAAGCUAUUAAAAAUCAAUUAAAAAGAGGUAAAAUGAGGUAAAAAAUUAACUAAACACAAUCUGCUUUCUUCCUCAAUAAAGCCAGCUGAAACCCUUCCCCAACCCAACCUCCAUGGAAGCUUAAAGCAAGUUUCAAAUCCCACCUCAUCUCACCUUGAAACCACAACCUUGCUUCACUAAAAAUUGAUUUUGCAACUUGGACAACCUCUAGCCAGCAAAAAGAAGAAGGAAGAAGGAAGUUUUGAAGACUUGGAAAAGUUAGCAAAAGAGGUUAGUGUCCAAUCUCUUAGCACCUUUACUUAAUUCAUGCUUAAUACCAUGAGAUAAGUAGAAAAUGUAAGAAAAACAAAAUAAAAAUUAUGUGUAUUCAUGCCCUAUAAUUUCAGCAGCUUAGGGUUGGUUAGGGUUGAUGAAUUUACUUGAAGCAAAGUAGUUCAUGGGCUGCCCUUAGUAUUAGAUAAGUGAUUGAACAUGUUUGUGUAAGUGAAAUGCAAAUAUAGUGCAUGAAUGAACUUGAAAACUUGGACAUUUGAACAACAUUAGGGUUUGCUCAUGUAAUGGUAUGUUAACUUUGUAAUGAUCAAUUAGUGACCAUUUGAAUGUGUGUGAGGAGGAAUUGAAGUGAGUAAGGAUGUUGGACUUGAAAUUAGCUAUGCUGUCCUUGGUGACCUGCAGGACUGGGUGUGAGUCCAGCAGGUUUGGGCAGUCAUAAAUGGAGUUUUAUAGGUUCAAUUGGUACAAGGCCAAUUGGACAUGAAACUAAACACAUAAUGGCACAACUUUGGU
rnacentral:misc_RNA from 1 species